ensembl:lncRNA
GGUUAAGCCUUGGGACUGUUCGCCUAACACACAAACAGUGAAGAGGACCAAGCGUGGGAGGAAGCUAAGUUUCCAAACUCUUUACUGGUGCAGUCGGUGUUGCAGGUGCUCAGCGUGAGGGAAUGACUGCCUCCACGUGGAGAGCGGCAAGCAGCAGGGAAGAUCAAAGCCCCUCACGGGCACCAGGCACCCGGCCCCUCAGCCUGGGCAGCUGCCCAGCCUAACGUGAGCAUAGCGAGCUGCCUUUCCUACCUGGAUGAACCAUAACCCAUGUUUCAGAUUCCAGCACUUUGGAGGGCUUCCAUCUCUCCAGUUCCAAGCGAAGCGCGAAAGCUCUGCUUCCGACGGGAUUUAGAAGAGGCCGGUUAACGACGACCAGCCAGGACGCGGAGCAGUCUUUUCCGACCUCGCUGCUUCGCCCUCCCUUUACGCUGACUUUAAGAGCUUCAAGUCACGGUGGUCAUGAGUGCUACACUGAAGGACACCACAUGUCACCAAUCCUAAACUAGUAAGCAAUUUCUGGUUAUUAAGGAGUUUUUGAGCAGAAGGAAACCUGUGGCACCAGAAGCCUUCCCGUCUGCAAGUCGUUCAGUGGAAGGAAGCAGGACAGGGAAAGAAGGCUCGACAGACAACUUCCCCGUUGGCCUUCCAGCCUUCCCUGGACCCAUGUGCAUGUCCAACCUGGCCUCUUCUCAGGGAACGUUCACUAUCCGCGCAACAGAAUAAGAAAUAAGACAGUUGAUGGAACUGUCCUCAUAGAACGCAAACUCUGCCAUCAUUUCAAGCACGCUGGAUGGAGAGGAUUAAGGGCAGGACCCAUAUUUCACACCUUUGCUUCCUGGGGAAUGAGGCUGCCUAAGAGAGAGGCAUGACCAGCUACUGCUCUUUUCCACAAGCUGCGUGUGCAAUUGUGUUAUCAUUCAACAGAAGUUCAAAGUAGGAAAAUAUCUUAUUACAGGUGGGGACACUCCAAGAAAUUUCUGGAUUGUUAGAGUGAACAGAAAUAUUCAGAAACGAGCCUGUUUACCUUAAAAUAUCUGAAUGCCAGAUGCAAAAUGUUUGAACAUAAGUCCCUCACUUAAUAAGCAGAGAUGAACACAGUCUUGUGGUCACUGACAAGAAAGGGGUGGAUUUAUUUGAUAAGAACUGCAGAUGAGUACUCUUCCUGGGUGAGAGAAGUUCGGAUGGACUGCAGACUCCAAACCAACAACAUAAGCGCCAUCAGAAGCCUUGUAAAUGGUAUCAACAAUACAAGAUGGGCUUUAAAAAAAUACCGAAUAGGCCUCCUAAAAGAAUAACGUUUUACCACCAAAUUCCCUCGGUCCAGGGCCGCAGGAGAAUGUGCCUCUACUAGAUGCCUGUAACAUUUCCCCCUUCGCUUCUCAGGCUGGAGAGGCUCCACAGCCAUCUCCAGUGACCGUCCCCUCCAGGCCUGAUGCUGCACACAGUCACCGAUUCUAACAGCUUUCUCUCUUUUAUCUUCCAUAAGGUUAAGGGUUUCCAAAAGCCAUUAGGACCCAAGAGAGUAAAACCAACCAAACGAAGAAGCAUAAAAUCUCCACAAACAUAAGGAAUCUGCAUGGUUAAAUUUCUUCUCCAAAGUCGCCUGCACCCCAAUUCCAUGUGGCUCUGCCUUCGGUUCUUAUUCAUAAAAUACACCUAUCAGUUUAUCGCCUCGGCUCCAAGUUCACUCUCCAGUACCCG